rnacentral:rRNA from 1 species
GACGAACGCUGGCGGCGUGCUUAACACAUGCAAGUCGAACGAAGAGCGAUGGAAGCUUGCUUCUAUCAAUCUUAGUGGCGAACGGGUGAGUAACGCGUAAUCAACCUGCCCUUCAGAGGGGGACAACAGUUGGAAACGACUGCUAAUACCGCAUACGAUCUAAUCUCGGCAUCGAGGAUAGAUGAAAGGUGGCCUCUACAUGUAAGCUAUCACUGAAGGAGGGGAUUGCGUCUGAUUAGCUAGUUGGAGGGGUAACGGCCCACCAAGGCGAUGAUCAGUAGCCGGUCUGAGAGGAUGAACGGCCACAUUGGGACUGAGAUACGGCCCAGACUCCUACGGGAGGCAGCAGUGGGGAAUCUUCCGCAAUGGACGAAAGUCUGACGGAGCAACGCCGCGUGAGCGAUGACGGCCUUCGGGUUGUAAAGCUCUGUUAAUCGGGACGAAAGGCCUUCUUGCGAAUAGUGAGAAGGAUUGACGGUACCGGAAUAGAAAGCCACGGCUAACUACGUG